rnacentral:rRNA from 1 species
AGCAGCCGCGGUAAUUCCAGCUCCAAUAGCGUAUAUUAAAGUUGUUGCAGUUAAAAAGCUCGUAGUUGAACUUCGGGGUUUACCCAUUGGUCAGGCUUAAUUGUCUGUACUGGUGAGAUAAAUCUCUACCUUCUGAGGAACUUUCAUGUCAUUAAUUUGGUGUGAUUGGAAAUCAGGACUGUUACUUUGAAAAAAUUAGAGUGUUUAAAGCAGGCUAACGUCUGAAUACAUUAGCAUGGAAUAAUGAAAUAGGACGGACUGAUUCUAUUUCGUUGGUUUCUAGGAUCACCGUAAUGAUUAAUAGGGAUAGUUGGGGGCAUUAGUAUUCAAUUGUCAGAGGUGAAAUUCUUGGAUUUAUUGAAGACUAACUACUGCGAAAGCAUUUGCCAAGGAUGUUUUCAUUAAUCAAGAACGAAAGUUAGGGGAUCGAAGACGAUCAGAUACCGUCGUAGUCUUAGCCAUAAACUAUGCCGACUAGGGAUCGGACGAAGUUAAUUUUAUAAUGACGCGUUCGGCACCUUACG